rnacentral:tRNA from 1 species
CAAAAAAGAGUUUUUAGAACACUAGCUUUGGGAGCUAGAGGUCCCUUACAGGUUUUUUGA